UAGCCAAUGUCUUCUCUAUCAUGCAUUUUACAAAUAAUGAGUACAUGAUAGUGAAAUAUUUGCUUCC
rnacentral:pre_miRNA from 1 species